UGGGGAAUAUUGCACAAUGGGCGCAAGCCUGAUGCAGCCAUGCCGCGUGUGUGAAGAAGGCCUUCGGGUUGUAAAGCACUUUCAGCGAGGAGGAAGGUGGUGAGCUUAAUACGCUCAUCAAUUGACGUUACUCGCAGAAGAAGCACCGGCUAACUCCGUGCCAGCAGCCGCGGUAAUACGGAGGGUGCAAGCGUUAAUCGGAAUUACUGGGCGUAAAGCGCACGCAGGCGGUUUGUUAAGUCAGAUGUGAAAUCCCCGGGCUCAACCUGGGAACUGCAUUUGAAACUGGCAAGCUAGAGUCUCGUAGAGGGGGGUAGAAUUCCAGGUGUAGCGGUGAAAUGCGUAGAGAUCUGGAGGAAUACCGGUGGCGAAGGCGGCCCCCUGGACGAAGACUGACGCUCAGGUGCGAAAGCGUGGGGCAGCAAACAGGAUUAGAUACCCUGGUAGUCCACGCUGUAAACGAUGUCGAUUUUGGAGGUUGUGCCCCUUGAGGCGUGGCUUCCGGAGCUAACGCGUUAAAUCGACCGCCUGGGGAGUACGGCCGCAAGGUUAAAACUU
rnacentral:rRNA from 1 species